UCUCUCUGAAUCUGCGAACGGCUCAUUAAAUCAGUUAUCAGUCUAUUUGAUAGUACCUUACUACUUGGAUAACCGUGGUAAUUCUAGAGCUAAUACAUGCUAAAAGGCCCGACUUCGGAAGGGUUGUAUUUAUUAGAUUAAAAACCAAUGCCCUCUGGGCUCCCUGGUGAUUCAUAUAACUUCUCGAAUCGCAUGGCCUUGUGCCGACGAUGGUUCAUUCGAAUUUCUGCCCUAUCAACUUUCGACGGCUGGGUAAUGGCCAGCCGUGGUGACAACGGGUAACGGAGGGUUAGGGCUCGACCCCUGGAGAGUGGGCCUGAGAGAUUGAGC
rnacentral:rRNA from 1 species